rnacentral:rRNA from 1 species
AGUCGAGCGNNAGAAGGGAGCUUGCUCCCGGAUGUUAGCGGCGGACGGGUGAGUAACACGUGGGUAACCUGCCUGUAAGACUGGGAUAACUCCGGGAAACCGGAGCUAAUACCGGAUAGUUCCUUGAACCGCAUGGUUCAAGGAUGAAAGACGGUUUCGGCUGUCACUUACAGAUGGACCCGCGGCGCAUUAGCUAGUUGGUGGGGUAAUGGCUCACCAAGGCGACGAUGCGUAGCCGACCUGAGAGGGUGAUCGGCCACACUGGGACUGAGACACGGCCCAGACUCCUACGGGAGGCAGCAGUAGGGAAUCUUCCGCAAUGGACGAAAGUCUGACGGAGCAACGCCGCGUGAGUGAUGAAGGUUUUCGGAUCGUAAAGCUCUGUUGUUAGGGAAGAACAAGUGCGAGAGUAACUGCUCGCACCUUGACGGUACCUAACCAGAAAGCCACGGCUAACUACGUGCCAGCAGCCGCGGUAAUACGUAGGUGGCAAGCGUUGUCCGGAAUUAUUGGGCGUAAAGGGCUCGCAGGCGGUUUCUUAAGUCUGAUGUGAAAGCCCCCGGCUCAACCGGGGAGGGUCAUUGGAAACUGGGAAACUUGAGUGCAGAAGAGGAGAGUGGAAUUCCACGUGUAGCGNAA